GACGAACGCUGGCGGCGUGCCUAAUACAUGCAAGUUGAGCGAUGAAGAUUGGUGCUUGCACCAAUUUGAAGAGCAGCGAACGGGUGAGUGACGCGUGGGGAAUCUGCCUUUGAGCGGGGGACAACAUUUGGAAACGAAUGCUAAUACCGCAUAACAACUUUAAACAUAAGUUUUAAGUUUGAAAGAUGCAAUUGCAUCACUCAAAGAUGAUCCCGCGUUGUAUUAGCUAGUUGGUGAGGUAAAGGCUCACCAAGGCGAUGAUACAUAGCCGACCUGAGAGGGUGAUCGGCCACAUUGGGACUGAGACACGGCCCAAACUCCUACGGGAGGCAGCAGUAGGGAAUCUUCGGCAAUGGACGAAAGUCUGACCGAGCAACGCCGCGUGAGUGAAGAAGGUUUUCGGAUCGUAAAACUCUGUUGGUAGAGAAGAACGUUGGUGAGAGUGGAAAGCUCAUCAAGUGACGGUAACUACCCAGAAAGGGACGGCUAACUACGUG
rnacentral:rRNA from 1 species